UGGGGAAUCUUGCACAAUGGGCGAAAGCCUGAUGCAGCGACGCCGCGUGGGGGAGGAAGGCCCUAGGGUUGUAAACCCCUGUCAGGUGGGAAGAGCAAGAGGUCGGCGAACAGCCGGUCUCCCCGACGGUACCACCAGAGGAAGCUCCGGCUAACUCCGUGCCAGCAGCCGCGGUAAAACGGAGGGAGCGAGCGUUGUCCGGAAUUACUGGGCGUAAAGAGCGCGUAGGCGGCCGUGUAAGUCGUGUGUGAAAGGCCGGGGCUUAACCCCGCGUAUGGCAUACGAUACUGCAUGGCUGGAGACAGGUAGGGGCGAGCGGAAUUCCCGGUGUAGCGGUGGAAUGCGUAGAUAUCGGGAGGAACACCAGUGGCGAAGGCGGCUCGCUAGGCCUGUUCUGACGCUGCAGCGCGAAAGCGUGGGGAGCAAACAGGAUUAGAUACCCCCGUAGUCC
rnacentral:rRNA from 1 species